rnacentral:rRNA from 1 species
GAUGAACGCUGGCGGCGUGCCUAAUACAUGCAAGUCGAACGCACAGCGAAAGGUGCUUGCACCUUUCAAGUGAGUGGCGAACGGGUGAGUAACACGUGGACAACCUGCCUCAAGGCUGGGGAUAACAUUUGGAAACAGAUGCUAAUACCGAAUAAAACUUAGUGUCGCAUGACACAAAGUUAAAAGGCGCUUUGGCGUCACCUAGAGAUGGAUCCGCGGUGCAUUAGUUAGUUGGUGGGGUAAAGGCCUACCAAGACAAUGAUGCAUAGCCGAGUUGAGAGACGGAGCGGCCACAUUGGGACUGAGAGACGGCCCAAACUCCUACGGGGGGCUGCAGUAGGGAAUCUUCCGCAAUGGGCGAAAGCCUGAUGGAGCAACGCCGCGUGUGUGAUGAAGGCUUUCGGGUCGUAAAGCACUGUUGGAUGGGAAGAACAGCUAGAAUAGGGAAUGAUUUUAGUUUGACGGUACCAUACCAGAAGGGGACGGCUAAAUGCGUGCCAGCCGCCGCAGUAA